GACGAACGCUGGCGGCGUGCUUAACACAUGCAAGUCGAACGGAAAGGCCCUGCUUUUGUGGGGUGCUCGAGUGGCGAACGAGUGAGUAACACGUGAGUAACCUGCCCUCGACUUUGGGAUAACUUCAGGAAACUGGGGCUAAUACCGGACAGGAGCUCCUGCUGCAUGGUGGGGGUUGGAAAGUUUCGGCGGUUGGGGAUGGACUCGCGGCUUAUCAGCUUGUUGGUGGGGUAGUGGCUUACCAAGGCUUUGACGGGUAGCCGGCCGGAGAGGGUGACCGGCCACAUUGGGACUGAGAUACGGCCCAGACUCCUACGGGAGGCAGCAGUGGGGAGUCUUGCACAGUGGGCGGGAGCCUGAUGCAACGACGCCGCGUGCGGGAUGACGGCCUUCGGGUUGUAAACCGCUUUCGCCUGUGACGAAGCGUGAGUGACGGUAAUGGGUAAAGAAGCACCGGCUAACUACGUG
rnacentral:rRNA from 1 species